UCUGUGUCGCCGCCUCGUGAGGCCGCUCGCGCGCGUGCUCGCACCCGCUGGCUUCGGCGGCCGCGGGACAAAUGCGCCAGGUCGUGCCGUCCCGUGGACGCGGCGGCGGCGGCGGCGGCGGCUUUCGAUCGGCUCCGGCGCCGCAUGCGGGGCGGAUCGCCGGCGGCCGCUUCCUGAGUCCUGACGACGCGGCGGCGGUUUUCUUUCGGCUGGCCGCCCGGCAGCGCGCUUCACGGCGGCCGCAUCGGUUCCGGUCAGGAACGAACUCAGGAUCGCGAUCUUGAACGCUCCUGCGCUUCAAGGGCGGGUCGCAAGGUCUGAAUAAUAAUUUGUAUCCAGCCAUCCAGGUGACGCCAGGGCGAAGAUUAUGAUCAAUGAACAACAUCAAAACGACGGCAAGGAUGGCACGGUGGCCCAGCCCAGCAGCCAGACUGGCCCCCGGUCUGCUACAUCCCCGUCUCACCACGCAGGCACGAGCUCAAUCAUGCUAGACUCUGUAAACGGGAACUAACAUUAGUAGAUUCUGCAUCUGAUUGCAUAGCAAAAUAUAAGUUAGCAUUUAGCAUUUAUGCAUAACGACGAGAAGUAAUAUAAUGAUUUAGUCGACUGACAUCCAUUUCAGAUUGCAGGCUAUACAAACAGGACUCCAUGGUUAAGUGCAUGACCCCCUAUCCUGUGACUAGCUUAUACCAAUGCUAAAUCAGAAAUGCAUCAUAACCCACUUGUCAUCACAUUGAUACAAAAUGAAUUGCUAAGCUUAAUCAGGAAACAGGCAGAAGAGAUGUCCUGCCAGUGCAAUCCUGUUAACCCCCCCCCCCCCCCCUCUCCCCCCUCUCUUUUUUGCGAUGAUUAGGGAUGGUUCCUACAUGGCCAAC